CCUACGGGUGACAGCAGUGGGGAAUAUUGGACAAUGGGGGGAACCCUGAUCCAGCGACGCCGCGUGAGUGAAGAAGUAUUUCGGUAUGUAAAGCUCUAUCAGCAGUGAAGAAAAUGACGGUACCUGACUAAGAAGCCCCGGCUAACUACGUGCCAGCAGCCGCGGUAAUACGUAGGGGGCAAGCGUUAUCCGGAUUUACUGGGUGUAAAGGGAGCGUAGACGGUGCAGUAAGUCUGAUGUGAAAGGUCGGGGCCCAACCUCGGGAUUGCCUUGGAAACUGUGGAACUGGAGUACAGGAGAGGUAAGCGGAAUACCUAGUGUAGUGGUGAAAUUCGUAGAUAUUAGGUGGAACACCAGUGGCGAAGGCGACUUACUGGACUGUAACUGACGUUGAGGCUCGAAAGCGUGGGGAGCAAACAGGAUUAGAUACCCGGGUAGUC
rnacentral:rRNA from 1 species